CCAGUCAUGGCUGAUAUGAAGGUGCUAGUUUGCUAAUGGCUCCACUAGCAAGAAAUAUCUUCGGGGAUUUUUUUUUUUUUUUGUAAAUAGAGAAUGUGGUUGAAACUACGAUUUUGGCAUUUUGCUUCUGAAACUCAAAGUACAGAAAGUUGUCUACAAAUAGUACAUACCUUAAUUUUUCAUUUUUAAAAUUUUGUUGAUAUUAGCUUUUAUUUUAUUUUAUUUUUUUAAGUUUAUUUAUUUUUUUUGAGAGAGACAGAGACAACAUGAGCAGGGGAGGGUAGAGAGAGAAUGAACCCCAGGCAGGUCUGCACUGUCAGCACAGAGCCUAAUGUGGGGCUCAAACUCUCAAAACUGUGAGAUCAUGACCUGUACCGAAACCAAGAGUUGGAUGCUUAACCAACUGAGCCACUAGGCAGCCCUGUACUAACUUUUAAUAUAAUUCUUUUUUUUUUUUUACUUUAUAAUGUACACAAAUUUCCCAUGCUAAUAAAUUACAUUCCAGCAACAGAACUGCAAAUAAUUGCAUGACCUUAGGGCAAAUUACUUUACUUUGAAAUUUUUAGUUUCAUCUGUAAAAUGAGGAUAUGGGGACUGAGCAGAACACAAUGAAAAUUUCUCUUAUGCUUAUCAUAUAUUGCCAAUUAUUUGUCUAGUGAUAGUUUUCCUCACUAAAUUUGAAGCUUCCUGGAGGCAAUAGUCUACCUGAUAACAUUUUUGGCAUUGACUGGUCAAGCUUCAGUUGCUACCCAGGCUCUUAGGUAAAUAUGGGAGUAAAUCAGUACCUUAAGGAGGCUGGGCUGGGCUUCCUUGGUGGACUCUUCAGCUCAUUACUGGAAGACAACCGGCAUGAUUUUGUUGUUUGGGAAACAUGGCUGUUUCAGUGUUUUUAGUUUGGAUGCUUCUUUAUUUAUAUCCCAGCUCACUCUGUAAAGUAUUUGAGAUGUGACAGAUGUCAAUUGUUUCUGCUAAGCUUUUGCUCAUAGGGACAGCAUGUGCAAAUUUGGAUGGGGGUGAAAAGGGGUGCAUGUAGGGGCUUCCUGGUUCUCAGUUAUGCCGUCCUAAGCACUUGGAGCCAAGCUGAUGCUAUCUGUGCAUUAGAUGGAUCACAGUGACAAGCAGAUGUGUCUCUGUGACCUCAGUUGCACGUAGGCACAAAGAAUCCAAAUAGCAAAGCCAAAUUUACCUUAAUCAUCAGUGGGAGAUUCUGUCACCCAGGCAGAGUGGGCUCUUUUAGUUGGAAUGGUAUAGGACAGAGGACUGAGCAAGGCCAAAAUAUUCAGUCCUGCUGUUCCCUGUCCCAUCUACUUAUAUUUCAUUCAUUCAUUCAAAACACAUUCAUUGAAUACUCCUGUGUGUCAAUCCAGUUCUUUGGCUAGUGCUCUGGGCAAGAUAGGAAUCAGGAGCCAUAGGAGAAGUUGGAAGAAUCUAAUCCCACCUGGGUGGGAUGGGGCCAGGGACAACUUCCCAGAGGAGACUGACUUAUGCCAACUGGAUGGAUGUGUCAUUGUUUAUUAGGUAAGGAUGGCUGUGCAUUGGGAAAGAUGGGAGAUUGUUCCAGGCUGAGAAAGUUUUGGUCAAAGGCAACACUGAACGAAAGGGGGUGUGUUGGGUUGUGACCUGGGCUCAAGAGCUUGAAAUUUAUCCCAUGUCCAGUGGGGAGUCUUUGAGGGAGCUUAAGCAGGGAAUAACCUUGUGAGAUUUGUAUUCUAGAAAGCUCUCUUUGGUAGCUGUGUGAACAGGUGGAGAGAGAGCGAGGGUGGUAAGAAUAGAUGGAAAAUGAGGUGAGGACAUAUAAAUGGGACAUGUAACAAUCUUCUUCAACUGUUCUGCAACAGGCUACUCAAGUUUAGAAGCGAACAGUAUGCAGGAAGUUUCCAGAAGUAAAGUGGGAUCUUAUUUUAAAAGUUCUCAUCUUGGGGUGCCUGGGUAGCUCAGUUGGUUGAGCAUCCAACUCUUGAUUUGGGCUCAGGUCAUGAUCUGGUUUGUGAGUUCGAGCUUUGCGUCAGGCUCUGCGUGAGCAUGGAGCCUGCUUAGAAUUCUCUUUCCCUACCCCACUUGUGCUCUCUCUUCCUCUCUCAAAAUAAAUAAACUUAAAAACGAAAAACAGAAGUUCUCAUCUUUUAGAUUGUCUCAUAGCCCAGACUUGCAGUGGCCCUAGAAUGGGGCCCCUGUGUACACCCACCUUCCAUUACCUGCAGAGGUGCCAUGGAGUCUGGUGUGGCUCGGUGUCCAGAAUGGUUUCCUUUUAUAUUUCUAUUCCAGUUUUUUUUUUUUCUACGGGAGUUGGCCAUGUGACAGGGCCCCUCUUGGGUCACAUGCCUGGCUAGAUCUCGACCCCAGUGAUGCCAGGAGAAUGAAGUGUGGCAGCACUGGGGCUCCUGUCUGAGUGGCUGAGGGACUGGAGAGUCUUGAGGCCUGUGUUACAGGCAUGUGUCACAGUCCUCUUUCGGCAGGACUGCGCUGCACAGGAGUGGAACCGCUUUCCCUGUGUGGCCCGAGAAGCUCCCGGACCCCCCUCUGUUCCUGAGGAUUCACCCUUCCCACCAGAGCACCGCCAGGUAUCGAGCUGUGGAGUUGCAGACUUUGCGCUCCCCUUGUUUACAGUCUUCAUGGAAUUUAAACCCUCUCCUUUCUCCUUUCUCCUUUCUCUCUUUUUAGUUUAGUCCCUGCCGCUGUUUCCAAUUUUCCACUUUCUCUCCAGCUGCUUUUGGGGAGGGGUGCUUUUCCCAUAUUCUCCCUCCCCCCACCCCCAGUCUCCAUCCUCUCUCUGCUCGCAAAAGCACCUCUCUUCCUGCGCCUUCUCGCUCCCCAAGUUCACCUCUCUGUGCCGUAUACCUGCUGAAUUCUGUGAUUCAGGUUGUGCAGAUCGUUGUGUUAAUCCUUCAACUGGUUUUCUAGGUGUGUAGGAUGGUUUAGUGUUGGUCUCUCAUGCCGCCUUUUAAACAACAACAUUCUUCUUUAAUGCUGCUAAGGUCUGAUUUAUGUUUCCUUUCAAUGUGAUUCAUGUAGAGGCUGGGCUCCGUGUGGCUCCCCAGGAUUUAUUGAAGAUAAAAUGUUGAUUCUAGAAUGAUUUGUUGUUGGUUUCUGGUCCACAUGUCCUUAGUUUGAUUUUUUGGGGGGUUUUCCCUGUUUUUACUCUUCUAAUUUAAUUUAAGUUUUUAUUUAUUUUGGUGGGAGGAAGAGAGAGAGGGAGAGAGAGAAUCUCAAACAGGCUCCACAUUCAGUGUGGAGCCCAACAUGGGGCUCGAUAUCACAAACGUGAGGUCAUGACCUAAGCCAAAAUCAAGAGUUGGAUGCCUAAACCCAUGAGACACCCAGCUACCCCACUUUUUACUCUUAAAUUUAGAGUGAAGGUAGUUUCCCUAGGACCCGGGAAAAGUGAAAUGGGAUCUUUAGGAAAACACAAAUCAGAGAGAGGCAAUUUUAUUCUUUUUUACAGGAAUUCAAGUUUUAAAAGGGAUAAAAGUUUCCUUGAAUAAUGCUGUCCUGAAUAACUUGAAACAUGAUUUCAUGUUUUCGUCUAUUCCAAGUUUCCUCUAUUUCAAGUUUUCCUCUAUUACAUUUCAUAAGCACACUAAUAAUUCUUCUGAUUAUAAAAUAUAUUUCCCAUGUUAUGUUUUCAUACAUUUACUUACUCUUAACCUGGCAUUUGAGAUUACAUGCACAAAAUGUCAUAAGAGACAAACUCUUCUCAUUGUCGGGGACACUAUAGAAGACUUGGAAGGACCCAGGGUGCAGACCAGGGGUAGACCUUACAUAAGUGCCCACAUUUUGCUGAGCACUGUCCUGGGGCUUCUGCACCGCACUUUCUCUCUUUGUGCAAUACACCCAUUGAAAAAGCCACAGGCAUCUUUCCUGCUCUCUUGAAAGGGGUUAUCUGUGGAUCAGACUUCAGAGCCGCUUCUCUGGAUUCUACCACGAAUUCCAUUUUCUAUUUCCUUCAAGAUGGAAGGCAUUCCUUUCACUGCUUCCUGGCCCCCAUCUCUAGCCAUCAUUCUAAGCUAUUUGUUUAAUUUCAGGGAUGACUGGUCGCUGGAAAUGUUUUUUCCACUAAGCAAAUAGUUGCAAGCUUGCAACACUUGAUAAUUAUCAAAUUCUUCUAUUCAGAAAAAUCUCCCUCAGACAUGACUGCCCGAUGAGGAGAAGGUAGCUUUUCUGAAGCUAUGUGUUCUUGGGAGUGAGGGCAUCUUAUGGAGGAGCAUGGACAGGACUGUGAUGAUUUCUCACUUGAUGUUUUAAAUCUGACUUCAGUCCCCUCUUCUGUAUGACAGUAAUAGGUUUCCAGUUCCAGUUAGUGUCCUUGGUGGCCCCUGAGACCACUUUGUUUUCUGUUAUGCCUAAUUUUUUUAUGCUUAUUUAUUUUUGAGAGAGAAGGAGAGAGACACAGAGCAUGAGUGGGGGAGGGGCAGAGAGAGGGAGACACAAAAUCCAAACAGGCUCCAGGCUGUCAACACAGAGCCUGACGCAGGGCUCGAACCCAUGAACUGUGAGAUCAUGACCUGAGUCGAAGUCGGUGGCUUAACCGACUGAGCCACCCAGGCACCCCUGUUAUACCUAAUCAUUUAUGGAGGUUUUCCCCACAUGGGUUUCCCCCUUAUAUCAGGUAGACAGAUAAAGGAUGUAAACAUUACUUUCAUCAUUUCUUUAUUCUCCCUAACCUAUAAUUCCUAGCUGCUUCAGACAAUCACUUUUCAGUCACCCAUCAUAUCCCUGCUUCCAGGCCUUCCUCCUGCUAUUCUUGCAUUAAGAACAGCAAGAAUUCCUCUUUCUCUCUUGUUUCAGCAUUGGAGGUUUGACUGAUUAACAAACUUCUGUGAGCGAUGGAGUCAUUGCAGCUUUCGUUAUAUUCUGUGCACAUUGUCCUUUCCCGACUCCUUUGGUGGCAAAGAACAUCUCUCCUCUGGGAAACCCUUCAUGUGUUCCCCGAUGGAGCUGAUGCUUCCGCGUGGCAGUGUCAGGAGUGGGCAACACCCGAGACCUUCAGCAGUCCUCCGUGAGCCUCUUCUGGAAGCAACUGGGAAAGAGGCAGAGCUCCUUCCCUUCAUACAACGAUUCGUCGUGAGGAUGAUACAAGCUGGAACUGCCGGUUGCCAUCUUUGCCACCACGUGGGCAUAAAGGGCUUGCCUGAGAAUAAAGCCCAAAUACAGACAGGCAAAGCUGAGAGAUGGAGAAAAUAAGAUGUUCUUAAUGACACCAUCAGACCCCUUCAUGCUGACAUAUUGAAGUCAACUGUGUCCCUUAUGUUUUCAGCUACAUGGGACAAUACCUUCCACCUUUUGCGCAUGCCAGCUUGAGUUGGGUUUCUGUCAUUUGCAACUAACGGACUGCGAGUGAUACAACUGCCAGGCAUUUUAUCCAUGGACGUUUCUAAUUGGUUUCAACACCUACUUCAUUUACUUCUCUGGCAUCCUAGGGCAUCAGCCAGUCCAGUGAUGUGCACAGACAAUGGAGGGACACCCAGCUUUCAUGCAGGGCAGUAGGCAGGUGAUUUUCAGCGACUGAAAGGUUUCUUACUAGGGUGGCCAGAUAACAUACAAGAUUGCCAGUUAAAUUUGAGUUUUGGAUAACUAAUAAUUUUUUAAGUUAUAUUGCCCCAUGCAAUAUUGAAAUUUCAGAUCAACAACAAAUAAUUUCUAGUGUAAAUAUGUCCCACUCAAUAUGUGGGAUCUACUUAUACCAAAAAAAAAAAAUUCAUUGUUUACCUGAAAUUCAAAUUUGAGUGCCCUAUAUUUUGUCCAGUAACCUUAGUCUCAUCAAAUCUCCAUAUUUUAGAAAUGUGCUUGAAAUAAUGUUGGUAGGUUUCUAAAUUUAGGAGAGCAUCCUACAUGAGUGUCUUUCAUACCCAUGGUGUGAAAUUCAAAUUUAUUAUUUAUAAUUUGCAUUUUUAUUUACUGAACUUGGCGAUCCUGUCCCCUACUCACCUCAGUUAUCUUCCUGAUCCAAUGAUACAACACCUAAAUUCUAGUAUCCAAGAGCCAUCUUGUUCUCCUGCUCUGUGGUCAAGGUCAAGAAGCAAGGUCUGGAUUCAAGCCACUUCACUGGGCACCCCUCUCUCUCAGGUGUUUAGAGGCAAGAGGGCAUUACAGUUAAUGAGGGACUAUUUCAUGACCUGUGUGGGAAGAGAAAGAAACUCAGGAGAACAUUUACCAGUGUUCUUCGCUUAUUGGCCAUGAGGGAGAAGCUUCAUAUCCACUAACUCAUUUAAUCUUUGUGACAGCCAUGUGAAAUUGAAUAGAUUUCAUCCAUUUCCACUUUUGUUUAUUUAUUUAUUAUUUUUUAAAGCUCAUUUUGAGAAAGAAAAGAGCGAAAGAGAGAGCAUGACCAGGGGAGGGGCAGAGAGAUGGGGAGAGAGAGAAUUUCAAGUAGGCUCUGUGCCGUCAGCAUAGAGCCUGAUCUGGGUCUUGAACUCAAGAACUGUGAGAUCACUACCUGAACCAAAAAUCAAGAGUCCGACGCUUAACCUACUGAGCCAUCCAGGUGCCCCUAUUUCCUUUUUUAAAAUGACAAAACUGAGAUCCAAACAGGUGAAAUGAGUUGCCCAAAACCACAUAGCUCAAAAGUAGUCAAGUUAAACUGACCCGAGGCCCGUGAUCUUCCCAUAGGUUCAGUUUCUUAGGGAGAGGGCAGCUCCUGAUACCUGUUAGCUGAGUGGGACAUUCCCAGGGUACUGAAACCGGUAGAGGGACAAUGACUGCCUAUGUCCACAGCUUUAGGACCAGAGAAUCUGUGACCUUUAUUCCCUGCCCACACCCAGCUGGGACGAGUGAAUACUUUGGUGACUGGGGUCUUCCAUGCCUUUCCUUGGGAUAGUGAUACAAACAAAGCAGACGGUCUUCAAACAUAUGAACAAUGUUCAAAUUACUCAUAAUUAGACAAAUCAGGAUGAAAAUGUCACCAGAGACCACGUCUCACUUGUCAGAUGUGCAAAGUACAACGCAGCAUUCUGGCAGAGGAGUUGGGGAGACAGGUACUGGUACACCUUGCUGGAGGCUGUGCCCAACUGGCACAACUCAUCUCGAGAGGCUGUAGGCCACACUUGCCAAGCUUGCCACGCACUUGCUUUGUCAUCCGGCCACGUCACUUGAGGAAUCUGCCUUCAAGACACAGCAACGGUGUGAAAAAUAUAGAUGCACCAGUUUGUUUGUUUUUUUCCUUCAUUGCGGCACCAUUUGCAAUGGCAAAAUAUCCGUCUGUAAUUUAGUUAAGAGCAUCGUAUGAUAUUAAUUUCCUGGGUUGAUAAUUUUAUAAUUUGGCUGUGGUUAUGUAAGAUGUUAACAUGAUGGCAAGCUGGGUGAAGGGUACUCUCCUGUGCUAUUUCUGUAAGUCUAAAAUUACAUCAAAGUAAAAAGUUAAAAUACCAACAAAGAAGCAGGUUUCUCAUCAUCUUACGUGGGGCAUGAGGUCAGCCCCGGACCAGCAGUGAAGGGCCGUAGCUGCCCACAGGCCUCCUCCUCGGGCCUGGUACCUCCCAGAGAAGGGGCCGGGGCUGACCUUGUCUCAUCUGUGACAAGAGAGAGUGGAGGGGUACAGACAGUCGUCAGCCGCACGCUUGAGGUGACUCUGAGGAGAAGUAGGGAGCAGGGAGAAAAUGUAAGAGGGCAUACCUGCCCGGACUGCUGCUCACAUUUAGCUUAAGUCAGUGAAAGAUGUCCUUGGAAACAGUUUCAUUAUCUUAAAGCCUCAUCUCCUAUGUGUGAGACAUCCACUGUCCUUUCUCAGUCCCUGGUUAUUUGUAUUGCACGUUCAAACACCUUGAACUAUUGAGACUAUUUGCAACCCUUUCUUCACGUGGCAUUUUCAGCCCUGCAAAUAGAACAGCUAUGAAAUGCUUACGAUGUGGAGCAAGUUCUCUUUCCCCGAAGAACUUGCUCAAAAAAAACCCCACAGUCCUCUUACUUUUAAAAGAUUGUGAAAUUGGCGAAUGAAUUUGAGUGUCCUCAAGGUGACUUGGGGGUCUUCUAAUAUUCUUAUCAUUUCUAAUUUAUGCUUUAUAGUAAAAGAGAUUAGCUGCUUUCCGUUGGCUGUUCUGAAUUGUUUUGCCAGAGACUAGCUUUGGGCUUCAGUGAUUCCUCCCCCAAAUAUCAAACCCUUGAUCCUGUGGAGAUGGGGGUGAAUUAAUAGAGUGUGGGAGAUGCUCACUCCGCUGCCAGCUUUCUGGGGUCAACGUGGAGGCUGGGUGGACCCAGCCCAGUGUCAUUGAGGGUGCCCUUCCUCGGGGAUUUCUAUCUUGACCACCAGCCGGAGCUAGAUACUAUAUUAAAGCUGAUUCAAUCCCCCUGGAGCCCUGUUAAGACAGAAAGGUUGAGUGUUUUUCUGAAGGUCGCAAGGCUAAUAAGUAGUGGAGCUGGGGCUUGACCCCAAAUCCAGAGCUCUUUUCCCUAAGCAGCUAAGGGAGAUCAAUUUAGUCACCUCUGCCACCUUGCUGAGACCCAUGCCUAUGGAAAGAAAUAAUGGGGUGUCCUUCUGUCAGUUCAGAAACCUCACUUCUGCUCUAAAAAUUGGAGUGUCUUUCUGUUGUUCCCACUCCUCACCACCUUCUGAUCCUUUAGGACUCACAGUCCUGGCAUACUAGGGUGGGCAUGCCAACCACUCUCCUCCUUUCUUUUCAAGGGAAUCCCCCCCUUGCGUGUGACUCUAUCUCAGCACUGGGUUUCCUUGGAUAAAUGACUCACUUCUCAUAUUGCAGUCUUUUCUGUAAAGUGGGGAUGGCAUUUCUUUUCACAGAAUUAUUGUCCAAAUCAAAUGACCUACCAGAAAAAGCACCAAUUGCAGAGUAGGUGAAUGACUGGUUAUUAUGUUGACAAAUGCUACUAAUUCUCAAUAUGGCGUUUCCCCACGUAUCCCCUUCACAGCACUCGGGCUUUUUCCAACAAAGAGGAAUAAAGUUGCAAAGCAUGUUGCCUCUCAGAAUUACUUUUCUUUCUAGAGGACAGAAACUCUGUCAAAGAGGAAAAUGGAAUUUAUCCCAGGCUUUUGUGCAGGUUUUAUUUGUAUGCAAAAGCGAGCAAGUCUUCUUUGUUCUGAAGAUGAAUUUCAUUCUAAUGGUGCCAAUGAAUCUUUUAAAAUUUCAUAAUUGCCAUUCUUAGCAUGCUCCAAACCAAAAGAUAACAAAAGGGUUAGGUGGCCAGUUCAGAUUGGGUUUGGAGGCGGAUGUACAUACGAAAUGCUUCAGCUGCUCCCUGAGUCAUCCCCGUCCACUGAGACGUGCGUGCGGUGAGCUGGAUGGUUGAGUCAGCAGACCCCACCCAGCCUUGCCCAUCCCUGUACUGGGGAUGCUGGAUGGUACAAGGCAGGCCCAAGGGGGUGAGUGUGGUGCCCCCUGCCUAGCUCUCCUUUUGGUCACCCUUACAUGCAAAUGCGUGGAGCACUAGGCAACUUGCAACGCCUUUUUUACAUUUAUUGUCUCGUGUAAUUCUCUCAAAAAUCCUUGAGAAGGGAUUAGGUCAAGAUUAUUAUCUCAUUUUCUACGUGAGGUUCAGAGGAGUUGUGGCUGAUGAAUGGCAGAGCCGGGACUCGAAUUCACGUCACUCGACUCUAAAACUAAUAAUCUUUCCACUCUAUUUGUCUGCCGGCACAGUAUGAUGGUCCAAGCUUGAAUUAUUGAUUUUCUUAUUUUUUUCCUUUGAAAAGGCUGUCAUGUAAUCCUAAAAAUCCUGUGUAAAUUACCAAAGCAUGGAAUUUUGUACUCUGGUGAACUGACACACUAUUUUCUUUUCCUUUUUUUUUUUUUUAAGCUUAUUUAUUUAUUUUGAGAGAGAGAGAGAGAAAGUGAGAUCAGAGGAGGGGCAAAGAGAAAGGG